rnacentral:rRNA from 1 species
UACGUAGGUGGCUAGCGUUGUCCGGAUUUACUGGGCGUAAAGAGCGCGCAGGCGGUCGUUCAAGUCGAGUGUGAAAGCCCCCGGCUCAACUGGGGAGGGUCACUCGAUACUGAUCGACUCGAAGGCAGGAGAGGGAAGCGGAAUUCCCGGUGUAGUGGUGAAAUGCGUAGAUAUCGGGAGGAACACCAGUGGCGAAGGCAAUCCCCUGGGCCUGCACUGACGCUCAUGCACGAAAGCGUGGGGAGCAAACAGG